GCGAGGGGGAUAACAGUUGGAAACGACUGCUAAUACCGCAUAAUGUCUUCGGACCAAACGGGGCUUAGGCUCCGGCGCAAAGAGAGGCCCAAGUGAGAUUAGCUAGUUGGUAAGGUAACGGCUUACCAAGGCGACGAUCUCUAGCUGUUCUGAGAGGAAGAUCAGCCACACUGGGACUGAGACACGGCCCAGACUCCUACGGGAGGCAGCAGUGGGGAAUAUUGCACAAUGGGGGAAACCCUGAUGCAGCCAUGCCGCGUGUGUGAAGAAGGCCUUCGGGUUGUAAAGCACUUUCAGUCAUGAGGAUAAUGACGUUAAUGACAGAAGAAGCCCCGGCUAACUUCGUGCCAGCAGCCGCGGUAAUACGAAGGGGGCUAGCGUUGUUCGGAAUCACUGGGCGUAAAGCGCACGUAGGCGGACUUUUAAGUCAGGGGUGAAAUCCCGAGGCUCAACCUCGGAACUGCCUUUGAUACUGGAAGUCUUGAGUUCGAGAGAGGUGAGUGGAACUCCGAGUGUAGAGGUGAAAUUCGUAGAUAUUCGGAAGAACACCAGUG
rnacentral:rRNA from 1 species